GGAGGGGGCUGCGCGGGGAGUCCCCCCGGCACGGCGGGGCUGCCUCACACCGUCCCCGACCUCCUCCCGCCGCCCGCCCCGCCGCGCACCGGGGCGGCCCUGCGCGGCGGCCACCGGUGAGGAGCUCAUGGGCUAUGGCUGAGCACCAGGCAGCCCCAGGAUCUGCUGGAAUUCAGGGAGAGCUCCUGGCAGGGACACCUGAGGUUCAGCCUCCUGCUGGCACCGGGUCAGGGCCCUGUGCAGAAGAGUCAAAGCAGGAAAGAAGGCCAGAAGAGAAGAUGGCAGGCCACGAGGAUGAAAUCAAAAUAGAAGCAAGAAGUCAAGUGGCAGAAAAUUGUCUAUUAGACAAAUUUUUAAAAAGUCCUCACUAAGAACCUGUCAGACAAA